GGGGAAUUUUCCGCAAUGGGCGAAAGCCUGACGGAGCAAUACCGCGUGAGGGAGGAAGGCUCUUGGGUUGUAAACCUCUUUUCUCAAGGAAGAAUCAAUGACGGUACUUGAGGAAUCAGCAUCGGCUAACUCCGUGCCAGCAGCCGCGGUAAUACGGAGGAUGCAAGCGUUAUCCGGAAUGAUUGGGCGUAAAGCGUCCGCAGGUGGUAAUUCAAGUCUGCUGUCAAAGAGUUUGGCUCAACCAAAUCAAGGCAGUGGAAACUGAGUAACUAGAGUGCGUUCGGGGUAGAGGGAAUUCCUGGUGUAGCGGUGAAAUGCGUAGAGAUCAGGAAGAACACCGGUGGCGAAGGCGCUCUACUAGGCCGCAACUGACACUGAGGGACGAAAGCUAGGGGAGCGAAUGGGAUUAGAUACCCCAGUAGUC
rnacentral:rRNA from 1 species